rnacentral:rRNA from 1 species
ACAAGCGGUGGAGCAUGUGGUUUAAUUCGACGCAACGCGAAGACCUUACCAGGGCUUGACAUCCCCUGACCGCGUAUGAAAGUACGUUUUCACCCUCGGGUGACAGGGAGACAGGUGGUGCAUGGUUGUCGUCAGCUCGUGUCGUGAGAUGUUGGGUUAAGUCCCGCAACGAGCGCAACCCCUACGUUUAGUUGCUAACGCGUGAAGGCGAGCACUCUAGACGAACUGCCGUUGACAAAACGGAGGAAGGUGGGGAUGACGUCAAAUCAUCAUGCCCCUUAUGUUCUGGGCUACACACGUGCUGCAAUGGCCGGUACAGACGGACGCAAAGCCGCGAGGUGGAGCAAAUCCUAAAAAGCCGGUCUCAGUUCGGAUUGCAGGCUGCAAUUCGCCUGCAUGAAGUCGGAAUCGCUAGUAAUCGCAGGUCAGCAUACUGCGGUGAAUACGUUCCCGGGCCUU